rnacentral:snRNA from 1 species
AGCUUUGCGCAGUGGCAGUAUCGUAGCCAAUGAGGUUUAUCCGAGGCGCGAUUAUUGCUAAUUGAAAACUUUUCCCAAUACCCCGCCGUGACGACUUGAAAUAAUCUUAUUUUUUUAACUUAAUUUUUUAAUUAAUUUUUUAAUU